AAAACUUCUUACAUUUGCUUUUCUUAAUUCUUAGUCUGGGGGCUUCCCUGGUGGCUCAGACAGUAAAGAGUCUGCCUGCAAUGCAGGAGACCCGGGUUCAAUCCCUGAGUCAGGAAGAUCCCUGGAGAAGGAAAUGGCAACCCACUCCAGUAUUCUUGCCUGGAGAAUCCCAUGGACAGAGGAGCCUGGCAGGAUACAGUCCAUGGGGUUGCAAAGAGUCAGACAUGACUGAGUGACUUCACUUUCUUUCUUUCUAGAGUUGAGGAACAACUAUGGCCUGUGUUCUAGGAGCCUUGUCAGAGUUGCCCUUCACAGUGUGAAAGUUGCUGGCCUCGGGGUGAUUUUUAGACACCAGAGUAGUAAGCUCAUUUAAAACAACACUUUGAAUUGAGCGUGUGUAGGAGCCAAUGGCACCCCACUCUAGUACUCUUGCCUGGAAAAUCCCAUGGACGGAGGACCCUGGUGGGCUGCAAUCCAUGGGGUUGCUAAGAGUCAGGCACGACUGAGCGACUUCACUUUCACUUUUCCCUUUCAUGCAUUGGAGAAGGAAAUGGCAAUCCACUCCAGUGUCCUUGCCUGGAGAAUCCCAGGGACGGGGGAGCCUGGUGGGCUGCUGUCUCUGGGGUCGCACAGAGUUGGACACGACUGAAGCGACUCAGCAGCAGCAGCAGCAGCAGCAGGAACCAUGAGUGCAGGCUUGGAGGAAGCUCAGAGCCUCUCUAGAGCCCUUUAUGUGGGGCACAUUCCCCAGAAGGUGAUCGUGCUCUCAGGAUGAGCAUUGCCCCUGCAUUUUAACACAGAUAACCAAAGAGAGUGAGCCCAAUGUUAAAGACUCCGGCACAAACCCAGGAUAAUUGUGUUCUAAGUCGCUUGUCCUGACUCUGUGACCCCAUGGACUAUAGCCCGCCAGGCUCCACUGUCCAUGGGGUUCUCCAGGCAAGAAUACUAGAGUGGGUUGCUUGCCCUCCUCCAGGGGAUCUCCUUGACCCAGGGAUUGAACCUGGGUUUCCUACGUUGCAGGCAAAUUCUUCACUGCCUGAACCACCAGCGAAGCUGGCACACGGAACUGAAUAUGACCUUCUAAGGUGUCUGAGCUGGAAACUGCGCUGUCAGGAAGGACUGACCCGGCGGGGACCUCCGCCUUCGCACACGGCCGAUUCCUGUAACUUCCCCAGGAGCAUCUGAAGCAAGGGCCAGAGGAUGACCAGGUCCGUGUCCUGUCACCUGCCCCUCAGGGAGGGGCCUUAGGCUUCCGGUCGGUGCUGGCCUUGCCCAGGGUGGACUUCGACCUCAGAGGCUGCGGUCGUCGGCUUCUUGACGGUACAGGCAACUUCCAUGUCCUGAAAGGGAAGCAUUCCGUGUCUUAGUUUCGAAUGUUCUCAGCGUUUACUGAGGUUGGAGGUUGGAGGACACCUUUCUCCUCACAGUUCGGCUCUUGGAGGAGUCGAGGCCGUCG
ensembl:lncRNA